rnacentral:ncRNA from 2 species
GCUCUCGACACGGGGUGCCCCCACCGGGGCUGAGAGAAAACCCGUUGAACCUGAUCUAGUUCGUACUAGCGAAGGGAUUGUCGCUUCCAUGCGCA